GUGGGGAAUAUUGGGCAAUGGGGGCAACCCUGACCCAGCGACGCCGCGUGGGUGAAGAAAUCCCUCGGGAUGUAAAGCCCUGUUGUAUGGGAAGAGCAGAAGACGGUACCAUACGAGGAAGCCCCGGCAAACUACGUGCCAGCAGCCGCGGUAAUACGUAGGGGGCAAGCGUUGUCCGGAAUUACUGGGCGUAAAGCGCACGCAGGCUGAAUUAUAGGUAGGUAGUCAAAUACGGAGGCUCAACUUCCGGAUCUCUAUCGAUACUGUAAAUCUAGAGUAUGUGAGAGGGAAGCAGAACUCCAGGUGUAGCGGUGAAAUGCGUAGAUAUCGGGAGGAACACCAGUGGCGAAGGCGGCUUCCUGGCACAAUACUGACGCUCAUGUGCGAAAGCUAGGGCAGCGAACGGGAUUAGAUACCCGGGUAGUCC
rnacentral:rRNA from 1 species